rnacentral:rRNA from 1 species
AUGGUGUUGCUUGACAUUAGGGGUAUGUUGCAGUCCAUGGGCAAAGACAUAGCUGAUUUCACUCUUCCAUGCAUUGACGAUGCGUUCGACCCAACCGAGGGCGAGGCCAGAGAAGUGAUCGAGGAAUCCAACGUCGAUUUUGAUAUCAACGACACUAAAUUGGCUUCGUCGCUAAACUCGGAGCAGAGGGUUGCAUACGACGAGAUACUAGCUUCUGUUGAAUGCGAUGAUGGGGGUGUGUUCUUUGUUGAUGGACCGGGAGGUACAGUGAAGACCUUCCUGUACAGGGCACUGCUCGCCAAGGUUCGAAGCGAGGGAAACAUCGCUAUCGCUACCGCGACAUCAGGCGUCGCCGCUUCUAUCAUGCCUGGAGGCAGGACUGCCCACUCGAGGUUCAAGAUCCCAUUGAGCUGCGACGAUGGCGCCUCAUGCACCUUCACGAAACAGAGUGGUACCGCCAGGCUACUGAGGAUGGCCUCAUUGAUACUAUGGGACGAGGCCACCAUGACUAAGCGAUAG